UGUUAAGCGGGUGUAUCUGUGUUAUGGCAGUUUCGUUAUUUUAGAUUUUAAUUCCUGUAUAGUUUCGUUUAAUGGUGAAAUAGGAAAAUUUGUUAUUGCAGUUGUGCUUUUGCUCUCAUACAUGUAUUUUUCUCUCCUAUUUAUGUUUGGGUGUGAAUUUCAUAUUUGACCGUGAAAAUGUGAUGAGUACUUAGUUUCUUACUGUUUCCUUACUUGAAGAAUACUGUUACAUUUGUACUUUCUGGAUUGUUCGAUAGGCUCUAUAUGAAGCAUUAAUGAGGCAAGAAGAGCUGCUUGCUUACAUUGAUAGUCAAGAAGAAGCUAAGUCGCGGAAGAAGUUUUGCUGGUGAAUUUUGGCUGGCUGAUACAGGGACUCUGGGAGAGGGCAUUUUUUCGAAUCAUGGUGUUCCUAGUGCCGACACCUUGCACAUUAGGUUGAUCCCUGAACACUAAUUUUCUGUUUAAUGCGUACACUCGAGAGUUGUGUCAACCUCGUGUAUAGCUAAUAGCUUUUUUUUCCGGAUUAAAAACAACCCUUGUUUUUGCUCUCUGCCCACCUUUAUUAUAUUUGGUGUGAUUGUCUCGUUAAUUGGAUAAGCGUGCCCUUCUGAUGA